GGUACACUGUCAGAGUGACAGCAUACUUUGAUGAAAUUGUGCUAAAACUGGCUGCACUGAUAGAUUUGUUUUUGAUUGUUUGACACUUCUAAAUAUUUUAGUUUUCUGCAGAAAAAAUCUCAGAAAACUAACGACUGAUUUUUGUCGACGUCGGGCACCAGUUACAGUUACAGUUUGAAAUUAUAUCUCACCUCGGAUGAACGCGCCUGUUAUGUGUUACCCCGCAACAGCUGACUUAACUGAUUGUUCAAAUCCUCGAAUUUAUCCUGCUCGCUGUCGUUCAUGUUUUUAUUACUUUCCCCUAGUUCUACACAAUCAUUAGCCAUUGGAUCGUGUAUAGUUCAUGAAUCCGAAGUGGUUCAAAAGGAUGUCGCUGUACAGAUUCAGAGCGGCCGCUUCCAGCUCAGCAAAAGUGAAAGCCACUUGACGGUUAAAUUCGUAGUGUGUCCGCUGAUAGCGCUCGGGGACAGAAAAAUCUCAUAGGUCAGAGUCGCUUCCGACUUCGUUACCGUCAACAUUAAACACAACAGCAAGAUACUUGGAAAGGACUUUCUCGUUCGAACAAACAUAAUGGAAGCGUAUUCUACACGCACAUAUUCACUCGGGCCAACCGUGUGACUCAUUUGGAA